rnacentral:rRNA from 1 species
AAUGACUCUCGACAACGGAUAUCUCGGCUCUCGCAUCGAUGAAGAACGUAGCGAAAUGCGAUACUUGGUGUGAAUUGCAGAAUCCCGUGAACCAUCGAGUCUUUGAACGCAAGUUGCGCUCGAAGCCACUAGGCCGAGGGCACGCCUGCCUGGGUGUCACGC